rnacentral:rRNA from 1 species
UGCCUUGAAGAUCGGAGUGCUUGCACUCUGUGAAACAAGAUACAGGCUAGCGGCGGACGGGUGAGUAACACGUGGGUAACCUGCCCAAGAGAUCGGGAUAACACCUGGAAACAGAUGCUAAUACCGGAUAACAACAGAUGAUGCCUAUCAACUGUUUAAAAGAUGGUUCUGCUAUCACUCUUGGAUGGACCUGCGGUGCAUUAGCUAGUUGGUAGGGUAACGGCCUACCAAGGCGAUGAUGCAUAGCCGAGUUGAGAGACUGAUCGGCCACAUUGGGACUGAGACACGGCCCAAACUCCUACGGGAGGCAGCAGUAGGGAAUCUUCCACAAUGGACGCAAGUCUGAUGGAGCAACGCCGCGUGAGUGAAGAAGGGUUUCGGCUCGUAAAGCUCUGUUGUUGGUGAAGAAGGACAGGGGUAGUAACUGACCUUUGUUUGCCGGUAAU